ACUGAAGCUGUAGUGUAACAUUUCCUGAACUACUGUCUUCACAGCUAUCUUAGAGAUUUGCUAGAGCCAUCUGACUGAGCGCUUUCGCUUUAGCCAUGCUUACUCCCAACUCCCAUUAGCAUGUCCCAAAAUUGCAACUGGCGCAGAUCCUUCAGGGGCUGCCCCAGAAGAUGCAGAGAAAGGGUUGUCCCUCAGUUUAGGGAAAAGUAAGUGGAUAGAGCUGUCAACUCUCACAGUUUAACUUUUUUUUCUCCUCCCCCCUGCCCCGCCAACUAUAUACUCAGAAAAUGAUUUUGCCUUUCCUGCUGCCUUUCCCCAUCCCACAGUUGUUGCCAUUGCUGCUUAUUCUCCCAUCACUGUUUCUUUCAUCGAUAAAGCACGUGAGGGGAGAAGAAGUUACAAAAGAUCAACGUUAAUCUGAGAAGAAAUGUAAGGUAAAACAUAGUUUUGACUGUGUGUUACUGAGCUCAAGGUGAGGCUUGGGCGUGGAAAACAAAAGUCGUGUCCCACUGGAAGAUGGCACCUUCUUGCUUUAAUUUUUGUAUGCAGUAAAGUGCAGAAUUAAAUGUCUGUGUAAUCAAGAGGACUUUUCCCUUUCCCAGGUGGUUGUUAAUAUGUUACAAGUGGUGGCUUUUGCUCUUUAGCUGGGCCUCCCAGAGGAAACACUGAAGUUCAGAGAUUUUUUUGCGUGGGGCUUUUUCAGUACAGUAAUAUCAAUUGACUGGCAAAGCAUUGCUUGUGCGGAUGCGGCUCUUAACCGAAUGGCUCUGGUGCCAGUGCGCCCUGCUCCUUGCCCUCUUGUCCCUUCACCAGGUGAAAUGAGCCGUGCUGGGGGGAAUCUCAGCAGUGCGAGGCGAGUCACACUUUACCUGGGGAGGGAGGAGACUUUGCCAGUGCAGAAGUGUGGAUCAGGUGAGGAUCUGCUGCAGCAGCAGCUAAAGGAGCUGCUGGUGCUUCCCCCUCAUCAGGCAGCGCCAGGUGCUGGUGGAAAGGCUGGAGGAGCAGAGCAGGACUGGAAGUGGAGACGGCCCAGAUGAGAAGUGGAAACGGCAAGAGGAAAAGGCAGAGGGCGGUGGGCAGAAGAGACCAGGCAAGUCGGCAAAGGAGUGAGAUUUAGGCUCUGUUUUGAACUUUGCAUGUGAUGUUCACCUGAGCAUGGUCUGCUACGCACAUGGAGAGGUUAAACUUAAACUGCCAGACUGUACAUUGACCAAACUAAUUCAGGAGCCUUAUGUGUAAUUACACUGCAUGAAAGGAGCCUGUGCCUCUUGAGAAAUCUUGGUAUUGAAGAUGUACCUGAAAUACAAAAUACAGUAGUUACACAGCAUGUCGGUUUUAAUUUGUGCAGUGCAUUAAUUUGGUUGAAAAUAAAAAUGGACUUAAAAUUCUGGAUUGUCAUGGCUUUUCAUGACACCAUAGAAACCCACUAUUCCAAACAUGCUGAGCUAAGCUAAACGAGUGAGGACCCACAGUGCUCGAGCAGUCCGUGUUGUAAAACAAACUAUAAUUAACUGUGUUCUUCAGAGAGAAAGAGGAGGGCUCUGAGGAGCAUUGCCAAGAAAGCAGAGCUGUUCUUAACCCUUGCAGUAAACAAUCAAUACCCAUAAAAAAUGCUGAACAAGGAGUCUCGAGGGGUAAAAGUUUCGGACAAAGCAGUGUAAGUGACUGUGGAAAUACAUGGAUGAUGAUAACUUUGAUUUCUGAAGUGAUGUGUUCUCUGUCAGCCAGGUCCUAGACAGAAUUGAAAAGCAGGAAACAGCACAUUGAGGCAAAGCCCAGUGGUCAGUGACAGCUUUAGUCGGUUUUGGGUCAGGUUGGGAGAAAAGUGAAAGUGGGCUCCAGUGUCUGAGGGUAUUUCUCUUAUAAAAGGCUGGUUAAAAAGGAUUUUAGAGGAACCUGUUCAACUGAUGCUCAGCUGUAGGUUUAAGAAUGGGCUGGCCUGUUCAAAUAUUAAUUUUGUAGCUUCAUUAAGCACAAUGCUUUCCAUGUGGGUUUGAUUAAGCAGCAAGAAUAUAAAUACAAUGAAAAUGGAAUCCUGUCUUCUGAAGAUUUAAUUAUUCAAAUUGUGUGUUCUUGGCUUAAGUUAAACAUGUUCUGCUGGAUUAUAUUGUUGCUCCAUGUGGCUCACUUGGCUGAGCCAUAUUGUUUAAGUUUUGAUGUUAAAUUUAGUUGUAAUUGGGAUCAAGCAAACAAAUGAGAAGAUGCGGUAAAGGCAAACCUUAGCAGUGGUAUGUAAAUGAAGCAAGACCACGGUCAGCAUAGCUCAAGCCAAAGCUUGUAGUGUUUAAUGCUGAGAUGCUCCCUUUGGCGUUAUAUGGGCUACUUGGAUUGCAGAGUCAGCAGCAUGAUGGGCAACAGGCUAGUGAAAACGUGAGAAGCUUGUGUUAUAAGGCCAUAUCUUGGUCUCAGCUCUUUGAAAUCUGCGUGUUUAAGUCAUAUUAAAAUUGCAGCCCAUUGUCAGAAUAAUGUUCAAAAUGUGUUAAGCUUUAUAUAAACAUAUUAAAACCAUUUCUAAUGUAUGGGGGUAGGUGACAGUCACCAUUUCAGUUUAUAGGACAAUAAGCAACAGAGGUAUUGCUAGCUGCAUAAAGCUUUCAACAAUUUGUUACUGAAUGUGAAAAGAACUCUAAUCAGCUCAAUUGCUUUUGACUACAAGUGGGUUUUAUAGUCUCCAGACUGCAAAUAUUUCCUUGUACUAAGAAUAAAAAGCAUUUAUGAGAGGAACUGAUGUUGGAUCAUACUUUCUCAAAUCGAUGCUAUUCAUUCUACUUAAACUGUUUUUUGUUGGGGGGGGGAGAGAAAAGUGAUGUAAUAUUACUAAAGUGUGUGUAAAUACACAUGUUUAUAUAUGCAUAUAUAUCUAUAUAAAGUACAGCUUUAGAUUUUGUUAUUUAUAUUUUCAAGUUUUUCAAGUACAUUGUAUACAGGAAGUAUCUUUUGGACAUGUUUCAUAUAAUUAAAAAAUAAUUUUUCAGA